rnacentral:rRNA from 1 species
CACGUAGGGGACGAGCGUUGUCCGGAUUCAUUGGGCGUAAAGCGCGCGUAGGCGGCUCGGAAAGUCGGUCGUGAAAUGCCGGGGCUCAACCCCGGGACUGCGUCCGAUACUCCCGAGCUGGAGGCAGGUAGGGGAGAUCGGAAUUCCUGGUGUAGCGGUGAAAUGCGCAGAUAUCAGGAGGAACACCGGUGGCGAAGGCAGCCCCCUGGGUCGACACUGACGCUCAGGCACGAAAGCGUGGGGAGCAAACAGG